GCAGAGGUGGUGUAGUUGGUUAUCACGUGGCUUUCACACAGCCAAGGUCGGGGGUUCGAAUCCCCCCUUCUGUA